UUACCUCGUCAGGCUAACUCAAAAGGAUGGUC
rnacentral:piRNA from 1 species